UACGGGGGGAGCAAGCGUUGUUCGGAUUUACUGGGCGUAAAGGGCGCGUAGGCGGCGUGACAAGUCACUUGUGAAAUCUCCGGGCUUAACUCGGAACGGUCAAGUGAAACUGUCAAGCUAGAGUGCAGAAGGGGCAAUCGGAAUUCUUGGUGUAGCGGUGAAAUGCGUAGAUAUCAAGAGGGAACACCUGAGGUGAAGACGGGUUGCUGGGCUGACACGUGACGCUGAGGCGCGAAAGCCAGGGGAGCAAACGGG
rnacentral:rRNA from 1 species